AGAGGAAAAAUACCGCAGGUCGGAAUUCAGCGGUGGCAACUCAGCAUCCGAUCUUGGUCUAUUCUUAAAUUAGCAAGAAAAACCUAAAACUGGAGGAUGAUACAAUUGUUUCUUGUUACUAGUUUUGUAAACAAAGGGUAAAUUGGUAAAAUGAAACAACGUACACAUGACCUAUUACUUUAGAUCAAUUUUUUAACUAGUGAAGAUUCAUUCCAUAAUCUUCAGCUUCCCAGGCAGACACCCAUCCACAAAGUCAUGGGUGAUAGAUGUUAUUCACAGUAGGCACGACUGUGUUGUAAAUUGUUAUCACUUUUACAAAGCCAAACAGCAGAUUUAGAUCAUGUGUCUACUGUGAAAGAGAUCAUGUGUCUCAACGGAAAUGGAUCUCUCUGUUUGCGAAAUCAGACUUCCCCAGUGUGUCAUUCUGAUUCAGAGCUAUUGAAAUCAAGUUGAACGUUUUGAAACAUCUCAGGCCAAAGCUGAAGCUCUAGGUCUGUAAUUGUAAAUUAAUUGACUGUUAAAUGUUAAAGUGAUUGACUAAAUGCCGACUCUAUGAUUUCCAUGCAAAAUGAGUGUUAUAAAUCCAAGGAGAUCUGGUGAGCAGGUUGCAACAGACUAUGUCAUGUCAAACCAUUAGCUGAAUACAAUGAAUACCAUCAGUUCCCCAAAUGAGAGGUUAAUAAUCAUACGGAGUCAAAAGAGGCAUCAAGUUUAACGAGAUUUUAAAAUGAUAACAGUUGGAAGCGCAUUUGGAAAUUUCGAAGAACGCUACCUAAACGUUACCUUUAGUCGCUGAUUCAUCUCGAAGAUAAAAUAAGUUAUUUUUAUAAAUUGAAGUGCAUAUCUGGGCUCCCUUCUUUUCUGUGGCCCCGUUUCCCCUUGACUUGUGAUAAGCCCGUUGGGGGUCAUGCCCCUACUGUGAUCA